rnacentral:siRNA from 1 species
UGCUAUGUUGCUGCUCAUUAUG